UACGAAGGGGGCUAGCGUUAUUCGGAAUUACUGGGCGUAAAGCGCGCGCAGGCGGCUAUCCAAGUCAGUGGUGAAAGCCCGGAGCUCAACUCCGGAACUGCCAUUGAAACUGUUUAGCUUGAGUAUGAGAGAGGUGAGUGGAAUUCCCAGUGUAGAGGUGAAAUUCGUAGAUAUUGGGAAGAACACCGGUGGCGAAGGCGGCUCACUGGCUCAUUACUGACGCUCAGGCGCGACAGCGUGGGGAUCAAACAGG
rnacentral:rRNA from 1 species